ensembl:miRNA mir150 microRNA 150
CAUCUCCGUCUCUCCCAAUCCUUGUACCAGUGUCUGAUUUACAGAUGACGCUGGACGGGGUUU